rnacentral:rRNA from 1 species
AAGUCGAGCGAACAGACAAGGAGCUUGCUCCUUUGACGUUAGCGGCGGACGGGUGAGUAACACGUGGGUAACCUACCUAUAAGACUGGGAUAACUUCGGGAAACCGGAGCUAAUACCGGAUAAUAUUUCGAACCGCAUGGUUCGAUAGUGAAAGAUGGUUUUGCUAUCACUUAUAGAUGGACCCGCGCCGUAUUAGCUAGUUGGUAAGGUAACGGCUUACCAAGGCGACGAUACGUAGCCGACCUGAGAGGGUGAUCGGCCACACUGGAACUGAGACACGGUCCAGACUCCUACGGGAGGCAGCAGUAGGGAAUCUUCCGCAAUGGGCGAAAGCCUGACGGAGCAACGCCGCGUGAGUGAUGAAGGUCUUCGGAUCGUAAAACUCUGUUAUUAGGGAAGAACAUACGUGUAAGUAACUGUGCACGUCUUGACGGUACCUAAUCAGAAAGCCACGGCUAACUACGUGCCAGCAGCCGCGGUAAUACGUAGGUGGCAAGCGUUAUCCGGAAUUAUUGGGCGUAAAGCGCGCGUAGGCGGUUUUUUAAGUCUGAUGUGAAAGCCCACGGCUCAACCGUGGAGGGUCAUUGGAAACUGGAAAACUUGAGUGCAGAAGAGGAAAGUGGAAUUCCAUGUGUAGCGGUGAAAUGCGCAGAGAUAUGGAGGAACACCAGUGGCGAAGGCGACUUUCUGGUCUGUAACUGACGCUGAUGUGCGAAAGCGUGGGGAUCAAACAGGAUUAGAUACCCUGGUAGUCCACGCCGUAAACGAUGAGUGCUAAGUGUUAGGGGGUUUCCGCCCCUUAGUGCUGCAGCUAACGCAUUAAGCACUCCGCCUGGGGAGUACGACCGCAAGGUUGAAACUCAAGGAAUUGACGGGGACUCGCACAAGCGGUGGAGCAUGUGGUUUAAUUCGAAGCAACGCGAAGAACCUUACCAAAUCUUGACAUCCUUUUGACAACUCUAGAGAUAGAGCUUUCCCCUUUCGGGGGACAAAAGUGACAGGUGUUGCAUGGUUGUCGUCAGCUCGUGUCGUGAGAUGUUGGGUUAAGUCCCGCAACGAGCGCAACCCUUAAGCUUAGUUGCCAUCAUUAAGUUGGGCACUCUAAGUUGACUGCCGGUGACAAACCGGAGGAAGGUGGGGAUGACGUCAAAUCAUCAUGCCCCUUAUGAUUUGGGCUACACACGUGCUACAAUGGACAAUACAAAGGGCAGCGAAACCGCGAGGUCAAGCAAAUCCCAUAAAGUUGUUCUCAGUUCGGAUUGUAGUCUGCAACUCGACUACAUGAAGCUGGAAUCGCUAGUAAUCGUAGAUCAGCAAUGAUACGGUGAAUACGUUCCCGGGUCUUGUACACACCGCC